rnacentral:lncRNA from 1 species
GUAACGUAUGACAAGGCUCUGCCUAAAUUCGUUGGGGUUCUGUCUCGUGACGUAGGGAUAAAGUAGAAUUGGGUUGCUAUACUUAAUGUGAGUGCACUAUAUAUUUUAUUAAAUAACCCAUGAGUGAUACCCAAAAUAGAACAACCCUCCUAAAACACCCCUGACACCCAUACACUUCCUAAAAUACACCCCGUAUGUGAAAACCGAGCCCGAAAUACAAUAUAUUAUUAAAAAUAAUUAAAAAUAAGAAAAUAUGAGUUGAGGCGGGCCGCAUAGACCCACCCUAACCUUUAACGCGGGCCGCAUUAAGGUGUAACCGGACUCUGCUGGAAUCUUUAGUUCAUGCGGGCCGCGUAAGAUAUCGUUAAGUUAACGCGGGCCGCGAGAGAUCGAAGUUGUGGCGCAGCCCGGUGAUGACACGUGUCAUCAUCGUGGCGGGUCUAGGGGGUGAGCCGGACAAGCUAGUCCGUUGACCAGGAUUGACGCGGGCCGCAUAAUCCCUGUCCAUUCUUUACGCGGGCCGCGUGGGAACCAGUUUCAGCAACUAUAUAAGGAACGCAUCGGAUUUCAAUUCAUAUGACCGUAACUUAGUAUGAAGCCAAUAAAAGCCAGCUGGAGAGCACUGAAGGCUUGGAAAAGUGGCAAUAAAAGUUACCUAAAAUAAAAUAAAUGUUUUUAUUAAAUAAAAUAGGAUUUAUUCCUAUGAAAAUGCAUGUACUGUAAAACUUGGGUUUUAUCCCAUGUGUUUAAUAUUAUGAAAAUAUGGUGGUUUUACUCU